UACGUAGGGUGCAAGCGUUGUCCGGAAUUAUUGGGCGUAAAGAGCUCGUAGGCGGUCUGUCACGUCGGCUGUGAAAUCCCGAGGCUCAACCUCGGGUCUGCAGUCGAUACGGGCAAACUAGAGUAUUGCAGGGGAGACUGGAAUUCCUGGUGUAGCGGUGAAAUGCGCAGAUAUCAGGAGGAACACCGAUGGCGAAGGCAGGUCUCUGGGCCACUACUGACGCUGAGAAGCGAAAGCAUGGGGAGCGAACAGG
rnacentral:rRNA from 1 species